rnacentral:rRNA from 1 species
GAUGAACGCUAGCUACAGGCUUAACACAUGCAAGUCGAGGGGAAACGGCAUUGAGUGCUUGCACUCUUUGGACGUCGACCGGCGCACGGGUGAGUAACGCGUAUCCAACCUUCCCAUUACUGUGGGAUAACCUGCCGAAAGGUAGACUAAUACCGCAUAGUCUUCGAUGACGGCAUCAGAUUUGAAGUAAAGAUUUAUCGGUAAUGGAUGGGGAUGCGUCUGAUUAGCUUGUUGGCGGGGUAACGGCCCACCAAGGCGACGAUCAGUAGGGGUUCUGAGAGGAAGGUCCCCCACAUUGGAACUGAGACACGGUCCAAACUCCUACGGGAGGCAGCAGUGAGGAAUAUUGGUCAAUGGACGGAAGUCUGAACCAGCCAAGUAGCGUGCAGGAUGACGGCCCUAUGGGUUGUAAACUGCUUUUGUAUGGGGAUAAAGUUAGGGACGUGUCCCUAUUUGCAGGUACCAUACGAAUAAGGACCGGCUAAUUCCGUGCCAGCAGCCGCGGUAAUACGGAAGGUCCAGGCGUUAUCCGGAUUUAGUGGGUUUAAAGGGAGCGUAGGCUGGAGAUUAAGUGUGUUGUGAAAUGUAGACGCUCAACGUCUGACUUGCAGCGCAUACUGGUGUCCUUGAGUACGCACAACGUUGGCGGAAUUCGUCGUGUAGCGGUGAAAUGCUUAGAUAUGACGAAGAACUCCGAUUGCGAAGCAGCUGACGGGAGCGCAACUGACGCUUAAGCUCGAAGGUGCGGGUAUCAAACAGG